UUCAUUUAUCAGCAACAUUCUGAAUUACAUGUAUUAUGACACUGUAAAAUAAAACCCACCUUUAAUUUUUCAUUCUUGGAAAAUCAUAUCAUCUUCUUGUUAAUUACACAUGAAAAACCGCUUUUGUUUGAGCAGACGAGUGUUUCGAGCAGUGCGAAAGUAAAGAACACAGCAACCUCGCAAGUUCAACCUUUAGGCAUGGCGAAAGAUUGUUCAAUACAAGGACCAGUAAAGGAGGAGUUCACUUACCAAGCUGGAUCCGCUCCCUUCAAGAGUUGUCAUGCUUCUACCAUUGUCGAGGUUGAUAAGGAUCAUUUUUUGGUUGCCUAUUUUGGGGGUUCAUUCGAGGGGGCACCUGAUGU